UGCAUGUCUAAGUACAUGCCGUAUUAAGGCGAAACCGCGAAUGGCUCAUUAAAUCAGUUAUGGUUCCUUGGAUCGUACCUUACUACUUGGAUAACUGUGGCAAUUCUAGAGCUAAUACAUGCAGCAGAGCUCCGACCCUCAGGGGACGAGCGCUUUUAUUAGACCAAAACCAAUCGGACCUCGUGUCCGUCUCUUGUGGUGACUCUGUAUAACUUUGGGCUGAUCGCACGGGCCCGUCCCGGCGACGUAUCUUUCAAGUGUCUGCCUUAUCAACUUUCGAUGGUAGGUUACGCGCCUACCAUGGUCGUAACGGGUAACGGGGAAUCAGGGUUCGAUUCCGGAGAGGGAGCCUGAGAAACGGCUACCACAUCCAAGGAAGGCAGCAGGCGCGCAAAUUACCCACUCCCAGAACGGGGAGGUAGUGACGAAAAAUAACAAUACGGGACUCUUUUGAGACCCCGUAAUUGGAAUGAGUACACUUUAAAUCCUUUAACGAGGAUCCAUUAGAGGGCAAGUCUGGUGCCAGCAGCCGCGGUAAUUCCAGCUCUAAUAGCGUAUAUUAAAGUUGUUGCGGUUAAAAAGCUCGUAGUUGGAUCUCAGUUCCAGACGGGUGGUCCUCCUUACGGUGGCUACUGCCUGUUCUGAACAGCCAGCCGGUUUCUCUUGAUGAUCUUCACCGGUUGUCUUGGGUGACCGGCAAGUUUACUUUGAAAAAAUUAGAGUGCUCAAAGCAGGCGUGACGCCUGAAUAAUGGUGCAUGGAAUAAUGGAAUAGGACCUCGGUUCUAUUUUGUUGGUUUUCGGAACACGAGGUAAUGAUUAAGAGGGACAGAC
rnacentral:rRNA from 1 species